AAGACCUUGCACUUUUGGAGCGGCCGAUGUCUGAUUAGCUAGUUGGUGGGGUAAGGGCCUACCAAAGCUUCGAUCAGUAGUUGGUCUGAGAGGACGGCCAGCCACACUGGGACUGAGACACGGCCCAGACUCCUACGGGAGGCAGCAGUGGGGAAUUUUGGACAAUGGGCGCAAGCCUGAUCCAGCCAUGCCGCGUGAGUGAAGAAGGCCUUCGGGUUGUAAAGCUCUUUCAGCCGGGAAGAAAAGGUUGUGAUAAAUAAUCGCAAUCCAUGACGGUACCGAAAGAAGAAGCACCGGCUAACUACGUGCCAGCAGCCGCGGUAAUACGUAGGGUGCGAGCGUUAAUCGGAAUUACUGGGCGUAAAGGGUGCGCAGGCGGUUUUGUAAGUCAGAUGUGAAAUCCCCGGGCUUAACCUGGGAACU
rnacentral:rRNA from 1 species